UACGGAGGAUGCGAGCGUCAUCCGGAUUUAUUGGGUUUAAAGGGUGCGUAGGCGGAUCGUUAAGUCAGUGGUCAAAUUGAGGGGCUCAACCCCUUCCCGCCAUUGAAACUGGCGAUCUUGAGUGGAAGAGAAGUAUGCGGAAUGCGUGGUGUAGCGGUGAAAUGCAUGGAUAUCACGCAGAACCCCGAUUGCGAAGGCAGCAUGCCGGCUUCCUACUGACGCUGAAGCACGAAAGCGUGGGGAUCGAACAGG
rnacentral:rRNA from 1 species